UACCCGCUGGCCCCGGAGCCGAGGGGCUUGGCCGGCCGGCGGGGUUCGGCGUCCCCCAGGUCGGUGGUCCGGCCGAGGGGCAUCCCCGGAAAGGCGGAAGGGGUAGGGGAGGGGGAACUAUCACAAAGCUUGCGGCCCGGGUCUGAGAAGAUAUUGGGGAGGGGGCUGAAGGGAUGGCCUGAGGAAAAGGUGCGAAUAAGAAAGAGGUGGCCCUCGGGGCCCACGAAGGAGGGAAGAAAAUGGCGCCUUCCCUGGACGGUUCUGGAGGUGAGAAGCCCAAGAUCAAGGUUCAGCAGAGUUGGUUUCAUCUAAGGGGCCUGAAGAAGGAUCUAUUCCCGGCCUCUCUUGUUGACUUAGAGAAGCUGAGCCAUGCAUGGGGGAGACUGAAGAGAAUGACAGCUGGUGGCCCUCCUCUCUGUUCCUAGUAAUUCAGCCCUGACCCGCCACUCAAAUCCUGCUCAGCAAGUACAAGUGUCACCGUAAAAGUGUGCUACCCUCAUGAGAGGGUGGUCUGAGACAGGUGGCAGAUCCCACUGGCACCUGUAUUCUGAUGGCUUCUCAUCCUCCAUCUCCACCAUAUAUCGUCUGCUGAGCUUGGGCAAUGCUAAUAGAUGGGACACAUUGUUUGUGUGCUUUCCCUCCACCCCCAAAUUUAUAAGUUUUUUAAAACCUAAUCCCCAUUUUUAUGCCCUCUGAUUGUCUAUUUUAAAUUUUUUUUAAAAAAGCUUAGUAAGCUAUUAUCUGAACACAGUAAUGGAGAGUGACCGGUAGUUUGAAAAACACCAGUUAGCCUAUCAUAGAUGUUAGAUAAAUAUUUCUUGCUAAAAUUUCAUGCUGAAAAAAUGCAUGUGUGGCCCUGACAUUUUGCAUCACCGUUACCAUUUUACAGAUGAGUUUAACUGAAUCUCAGAGAGAAUUUUCUUGCUCUGACUCUCCAUCCUGUGGCUUUCCACAACCUGCCGUCUUUAAGACCACAGCUGAGUAUUUUGUGAUUCACCUGCUACCACUGGCCAGUCACCGUGUUAUUGUUCCAGCAAUUGAGUCAAAACAUCCAGACUCUGUUUCUCAUCUUAUCUGUCAUUAAAGGUCUAAGAUUCUGUCUCCCCACUGAGGGAUGUGCUCAGUGACACUGUUGCCUACACAGCCCCCUGCCACCUCCCGCUAACCCAUGGAUUUACUGCACGUGGGGGACACCCUUACUCUGGAUCGAACCAGUCGGAUAGCUGAA